rnacentral:rRNA from 1 species
GAUGAACGCUGGCGGCGUGCUUAACACAUGCAAGUCGAACGAAGCACUUUAUUUGAUUUCCUUCGGGACUGAUUAUUUUGUGACUGAGUGGCGGACGGGUGAGUAACGCGUGGGUAUCCUGUCUUGUACAGGGGGAUAACAGUUGGAAACGGCUGCUAAUACCGCAUAAGCGCACAGCAUCGCAUGAUGCAGUGUGAAAAAGUCCGGUGGUAUAAGAUGGACCCGCGUUGGAUUAGCGAGUUGGUGCGAUAACGGCGCACCAAGGCGACGAUCCAUAGCCGACCUGAGAGGGUGACCGGCCACAUUGGGACUGAGACACGGCCAAAACUCCUACGGGAGGCAGCAGUGGGGAAUAUUGCACAAUGGGCGAAAGCCUGAUGCAGCGACGCCGCGUGAGCGAAGAAGUAUUUCGGUAUGUAAAGCUCUAUCAGCAGGGAAGAUAAUGACGGUACCUGACUAAGAAGCACCGGCUAAAUACGUG